CAGUAGCCGCGGUAAUACGGAGGGAGCUAGCGUUGUUCGGGAUUACUGGGCGUAAAGCGCGCGUAGGCGGUUACUCAAGUCAGAGGUGUAAGCCCGGGGCUCAACCCCGGAACUGCCUUUGAAACUAGGUGACUAGAAUCUUGGAGAGGUCAGUGGAAUUCCGAGUGUAGAGGUGAAAUUCGUAGAUAUUCGGAAGAACACCAGUGGCGAAGGCGACUGACUGGACAAGUAUUGACGCUGAGGUGCGAAAGCGUGGGGAGCAAACAGGAUUAGAUACCCCAGUAGUCCCUGUCUCUUAUAC
rnacentral:rRNA from 1 species